ACUGGAAUAGCUGGGUCAAAGGGUGGUUCCAUUCCAAGUUUUCCAAGAAAUCUGCAUACUGCUUUCCAGAUUGGUUGCACCAAUUUGCAGUCCCAAUGGCAAU
rnacentral:pre_miRNA from 1 species